AUUUUUGAGCCCAUUGAAGAAGUGGCGGUUGGAUGAUAUAAAAAACCCAAUACCAUUUCCUUCUUCGAAUAGAUCCAUUCACGAUCGACCUCUCUUCUUCUUGCUUCGAGGAUACCAUUGCCAGCAACUAGAUCCAGUUGCUGUAAACAGGGCUUUUCUGUGGUCUAUUUCUCUGAUUAAUCAAAAUGGUUGUGCUUGCUGCUUCUGUAGUGAGCAAGUCUGGGAAAGUGCUCGUUUCUAGGCAGUUUGUGGACAUGUCGCGUAUGAGGAUUGAAGGUCUUCUUGCAGCCUUUCCUAAAUUGAUUGGAACUGGAAAGCAGCACACAUAUGUUGAGACUGAGAAUGUGCGAUAUGUUUACCAGCCAAUAGAGGCUUUGUACUUGCUACUUGUGACAAAUAAACAGAGCAACAUUCUUGAAGAUUUGGAGACUCUGAGGCUGCUCUCCAAGCUUGUGCCUGAAUACUCCUUGUCUCUUGAUGAAGAGGGCAUUUGCAAGACAGCUUUUGAGUUGAUUUUUGCAUUUGAUGAGGUCAUCUCCCUUGGACACAAGGAAAAUGUGACUGUUGCGCAGGUUAAGCAGUACUGUGAGAUGGAGAGUCAUGAAGAGAAACUGCACAAGCUGGUAUUGCAAAGCAAGAUCAACGAAACCAAGGAUGUCAUGAAGCGCAAAGCUAGUGAGAUUGACAAAAGCAAGAUUGAAAAGAAUAAAGGUGAUAAAGGAGGAUUUAUGUCCUUACAGUCAAUGGGUUCUGGAAGAAUUGAGAGUAAAUUUAGUGACAUGAGCAUUUCUAGCAGUGAAGGUGGUUUUGGAAGUGGUUCUGGGUUUGGAUUGACCACUGAUGUUGACUCCUUUUCCAGCAAAUCUAAAGGUCGUCAGCCAUCAUCUGCCACUGCUCCCCCUAAAGGUCUUGGUAUGAAGCUUGGUAAAACCCAGAGGACAAACCAAUUUUUGGAAUCACUGAAAGCAGAAGGUGAAGUGAUUCUUGACGAAGUGCAGCCAAAGGCAGGUCAAUCCAGAUCUGCUGCUGCACCACCAACUGAUCCCAUUACUUUGACCGUUGAGGAGAAACUCAAUGUGACUUUAAGAAGAGAUGGCGGAAUGAAUAACUUUGACGUUCAAGGGCAAUUGUCACUUCAGAUUCUUAAUCAAGACGACGGGCUCAUCCAAGUUCAGAUUGAAACUGGAGGAAAUCCAGCCAUCCUCUUCAAGACACACCCUAACAUGAUCAAAGAAUUAUUUGCCAAUGAAAAUAUUCUAGGCUUAAAGGAUCCUAGUAGACCUUUCCCCACUGGUGAUGCAGCAGGUGUUGGUCUUCUGAAAUGGAGAAUGCAAAGUGGUGAUGAGUCAAUGGUGCCAUUGACAAUCAACUGCUGGCCCUCUGUUUCUGGAAAUGAAACUUUUGUCAGCAUUGAAUAUGAGGCUUCAUCCUUGUUUGAUCUGCGAAAUGUCAUGAUCUCAGUACCUCUUCCAGCUCUUCGAGAGGCACCGAGUGUUAGGCAGAUUGAUGGAGAAUGGAGGUAUGACUCGAGAAAUUCCAUCCUGGAAUGGUCCAUUCUUCUAAUUGAUAACUCUAACCGCAGUGGAUCAAUGGAAUUUGUUGUGCCUCCAGCAGAUUCAUCAGCAUUCUUCCCUAUUUCUGUUAGGUUUUCAGCCACAAGCACAUACAGUGAGCUGAAGGUUUGCUUUUCCUUUUCUUUUGUGAUCCCACGCUAACCUGUUAAUGAAGAAUAAUGUGGUUGCUUCAUACUUGUGUAAAUAUAUUUGGUUUUAAAUGUAUAUUUGGAAAAUCAAAACAUAAAAUUUUUAUAGGCCUUAUAGAUGUUUCAUAAAAUUCACAUAAAAAAUUAAUUAACUACCGAGCAUAUUUCUUGAAAGAAAUUGUCAUUUUAUCACUACAAAAUGAAACCCCGCCUUUCACAUAUAAGUAAUUUGAGAAAGAACAAAAGAAUUAGUGUUUUGUGGCGUUGGAAUCUUUGACAUGGCUAAUGGUAAAAUCUGGAGUUCUUUUUGUAGGUUGCCAAUGUUCUGCCUCUGAGAGGUGGACCUCCUCCAAAGUUUUCUCAAAGGACGCAAUUGGUGACAGAGAAUUACCAAGUAGUCUGAACAAUGUUCGUCCGUUCCUUAUCCCUUCUCAAUGUUGUGAUUUUGAUUGUGAUUAUUGAUUUUGACUGGUAUGAACCUGGCCCUUUUUGUAUCACAUUAAUAGCUUUAUGGUCAUUUCUACAUUACUUUGGUUGUAUGUACUUAGGUGGGUUAUCUCUUUGUGGAUUCUUAUGCUGAAAGUUCUUUUCAGUUUUGCAAUCAUGCACGCCUCGUUAGUUUUUAGCGUACGUGAGAAAUUUCUUUAUAGGGGGAAAAGGAUAUUAUUGUUAGCUAUAUAUGAAUUCCCAAAGAGGACGUCUUAAUAUUUUGAAUUUUUGAGACACAGGAUUUCCAUUAACAGUAGUUGCAGAAAGCAACAUGGUUUGAGAAUGAUUUAAUUUGUGCUCGAAUCAAAGUUGCAC
rnacentral:misc_RNA from 1 species